AUAUUAUGAUUUGGACACCUUCUUAAUAACAUUUUGAACCUCUCCCAUGAAUCGUACAAGGACUCUGUCUCUUGUUGUUUAAAAUUAGUGAUUUUGGAUCUUCUUUU